UACGGGAGGCAGCAGUGAGGAGUAUUGGUCAAUGGACGAGAGUCUGAACCAGCCAAGUAGCGUGCAGGAUGACGGCCCUAUGGGUUGUAAACUGCUUUUAUAAGGGAAUAAAGUGAGUCUCGUGAGACUUUUUGCAUGUACCUUAUGAAUAAGGACCGGCUAAUUCCGUGCCAGCAGCCGCGGUAAUACGGAAGGUCCGGGCGUUAUCCGGAUUUAUUGGGUUUAAAGGGAGCGUAGGCCGGAGAUUAAGCGUGUUGUGAAAUGUAGACGCUCAACGUCUGCACUGCAGCGCGAACUGGUUUCCUUGAGUACGCACAAAGUGGGCGGAAUUCGUGGUGUAGCGGUGAAAUGCUUAGAUAUCACGAAGAACUCCGAUUGCGAAGGCAGCUCACUGGAGCGCAACUGACGCUGAA
rnacentral:rRNA from 1 species